rfam:Ovis aries breed Texel chromosome 7, whole genome shotgun sequence.
UCCCUGAUAGCUCAGUUGGUAAAGAAUCUGCCUGCAAUGCAGGAGAGCCUGGUUCAAUUCCUGGGUUGGGAA